rnacentral:misc_RNA from 1 species
GAUGUAGUUACUGCUCUGAGUUUCCUUGUAGGAGGUCCAGAAGCAGGCAGUGUUACACAUGAUUCUUCCCCUUCUUCGCCAUCAGAACUAAACACAACGGGAGAUGAUGAAGACAGCACAUGAGAACGUGAAGAACCAGUGGCAGAAGCCAUGGAAUGGGGCUCAAACUCAAAGCAGUGUUGAAGUGCUUCUUCAUUUUAACUAAUUAUCCGUUGCAUAUACUGUAUGGAUGGAUGGAUAUGGCCUUUCCCUGGAGAGAUUCUUUAAUUCUGUAUAUUGUUCUGUAUAAACCCAUAUGUAAGGAAGUUACUGAUAUGGGAGGAGGAUGGAACAUGAGCUGAGAAGAAGAUGAAGAUGAAGAUGAAUUUCUGAGAAAAAGCAUAAGGUUUUAUAAGCACUCAUCAAAUGCUUCACGAAUGUUUCUAUAAGGGAUUAGUGCAAAAAGACUAAAGUUUUGGUUAGUUUCAAUAUUUCUGCUGUAAUUGUGACGCUUGAUCUAUCAGAUAGAUUUUACAGUAGGC